rnacentral:rRNA from 1 species
CCUACGGGGGGCAGCAGUAGGGAAUAUUGCUCAAUGGGGGAAACCCUGAAGCAGCAAAGCCGCGUGGAGGAUGAAGGUUUUCGGAGUGUAAACUCCUUUUGUUAGAGAAGAAAAUGACGGUAUCUAACGAAUAAGCACCGGCUAACACCGUGCCAGCAGCGGCGGUAAUACGGAGGGUGCAAGCGUUACUCGGAAUCACUGGGCGUAAAGGGCGAGUAGGCGGGAUAGCAAGUCAGAUGUGAAAUUCUAUGGCUUAACCAUAGAACUGCAUUUGAAACUGUUAUUCUAGAGUAUGGGAGAGGUAGGUGGAAUUCUUGGUGUAGCGGUUAAAUCCUUAGAGAUCAAGAGGAAUACUCAUUGCGAAGGCGACCUGCUAGAACAUAACUGACGCUGAUGCGCGAAAGCGUGGGGAGCAAACAGGAUUAGAUACCCUGGUAGUC